CGCCCCGCGGCCGCGCUGCCUUCCCCGCCCCGGGUCCCGCCGGGGCGGCCUGGAGGUGGGGGGGGCUGCUCGCGGGCGGCGGGGGGCGGGCGGCGAAGUUUCUUGCCUUCCCUCUGGCUUCGGAGCUCUUCUGUUUUUUAGCUUCUCUACAAUUCGGGUGUUAAAUGGGGAACAUUGGAAGGAGCUGGCAAGAGCAUUGGAGACAAACAAAUUAUAAAGCUGUCCUUUCACCGUGAUCCUGAGAGUGACUUUCAUGGAUGACACUUGAAAUAAAGGGGUUAAAAGUCCAGUGUGGUACAGAAGGAAGGACCUAGGUACAGUUGACCCUGCAAAGAGAGUGAGGUGGUGAAUAAGGACUUUGAAGCAGAUUUGGAGCUGUAAUGACUGGCUUCCUUCCCUGCUGCUGUCCCUUCCCCUUCCUUGCAAAGCGUUUUCAUUUGAAAUGCUAAGGUGUGGUCAUCAGGCAUAUCUGUUCUCAACUUCCAGUAAUUUUUUGCUCACUGCUGAGCUACACCAUAAUUACAUAUGCAAAUGCAGUAUUUUUUUCCCCUCUUACCUUGUACAUGUGGGAGGGAAAGAUAAGGUUGCAGAGUGCUGCCAGGGAUGGUGCUGCUGUCGAAAAAGUGCUGCAGAUGGCCACAGGAGAGAAUUGCACGUCGUGCAAGACAAGACUCACGGGGGAUUUCAGAACUUCUGUGGUUCAGAGGCAACGAGAAAACACUGUUCUUGCCAACUUUAAACUAUAGAGAGGGGCAGACUGUUGGAUGCCUUGGUAUAAUAACCUGUUUUCAUCAUACAUUCUAGCUACUGAGUGCUGAGAGUGAAUUUGCACUUACAAUGGGAAUUUGUUUUGUAGACAUACGUAUGUGUAGUUAUUAUAGCCAAUAAUUUAAUGUAUUAGGCUGGCUUGAAUGCUCCCUGUAGUAACACAAGGUAAAGUUCUGUUGUUCGUAAGCAUUGUAAUGAUACUAAAACCACAAAGCUAUUUCUAUGGAAAAGGCUAUUCUGACAUUCUGUUCUUCAUGGUAAAGCUUACCUUGUACUUUUUCUAGAUUUUAAAUUGACUGAUUCCCAAAACCCUAAAUAUGUCUUCCAACAAAUAGUGGAAGUAAGAUAGAAUCAAUUCUAUAUUGCAGUCAAAAUGCUGGGAGACUCUUUCUACACAAAAAUGGAAUAAUAACUUAAACAGAAAUGAGAAGUAAAAUUGAAUUGUUAGUUGUAGCAUAGGAAAAGGGAAAUAGUUCAGUGACACAUAAUGCAAUAUAACAUGCCAUAGUUCUCUGUGUUUUACCACAUGAUUGAUCUUGCCUUCAGGGAUCAGCCUGAAUAGCUGAUGUGGUAGUUACGUGAUGGAGGAGGACUUCUUUACAAGGAUGAACCAGGUUUGUACCUCAGCAUGUGAGUGACAAACUAGUGGCAGACUUUCUGUUUCUGUGAGCUAAGCCAGUUCACACAAGAGGGACAAUUUUAGCUUUACAGCUGCAAAGGAUAGAAAUAGACUUAGGUGAAUAAAAAUCAUGACACACAAUGGAAGUUUAUGAUCCUGACAAAAUUCUUACAAGGUAUAUGAUGCAAACUGUUGCUGGUAGAUAUGAUGCUUAAAAAAAAACUUGUGCCAGUACUGCCUGCUUUCCUUCACAAACAAAAUAAAUAAGGUAGUUAAGAACUCCAGCAAAUAGGGAAUUUUCUUUAUUUUGGUAUAAAGUUGCAAGCCUCUGUUUUUUGAUUACCCCAAUCUCCUCUUCUUUUUGUUUAAAAAAAAAAAAAACAAACCCAAAAAUUUAAAGCUCCUUGCUAUCACAUUGCACAUGCAAAUACAAGUGCAGUGAAAUGAUUUGCAUAUGUAUCAUCACAAUAGUUUGUGAUAUAGGAAAGAAUAUACAACUUAAAAAAAAAAAACCCAAGCUGUUUUCUUACCUGCUCGGAAAAGAAAAGUGCUGCAAUUGAAAACUUGCCAAAUGUCUUGUUCUAAUAGUUUACAGUUGCUUAUUUUUAGUUCUUAUUUCAUCUUUCCAACUUUUGCCAAUACUUUUAAAGCAUUUUGAAGGUCUAGUAUAGCAAAUCCUCAAAAUGGAAAGAUGGUUGUGACUUUUCAAGUUCCAGGAUGCUUGUUCACUGAAUAAAGCCUUCCAGUUUGUACCUUAAUGUAUCUUAGUAGGCAUCCUAAUUAAGCUGCUUCUUUUUUGUUGUUGUUUUUGAAAUGUCUUCCCAGCCUGUCUACCUUUAAAAAACUUGCACUACUUCCUUCAACCACAGAAGCAUUGAGCAGGACUGCAAUCAAAUGUGUGUCUUAUUGGUUCUUGGGUCUACUGUGGAAACACUUUGUAGCUGAAGUGUUUUUGCGCAUGCACAACCAUGCGUCCUGUUUUCCUGCCUUUUCCUUUUGUCUGUUGAGCUUCUGGCUGAUAGCAGAUGAAUGUGGGCAGCAAAGAGUAAUGGGCUGUACAAAAUGCCUGAGGCUUCUUGCAUACAAUAAAAUGACUCCAUUAUAAAGAAAAAAAUGACAAGCCUGCCAUGGAGGAUAUCUGUAUUGAGGAGAUGGAGAGAGUAGCCUUUGGUUUAUGAUCAUGUUAAUGGGUGUAAAAUAAACUUAAUUUUUUUCAACUGUCAAAAGUAUUCCUAGGUGCUUUAUGGAGUAAUGCUGAAGAUCCUUCUAGCAGGAAAACACUGAUGAGCUAAAUGGAUGAUGUACUACUUACUGUUCCUGGUUGCUAUAUAUCUGUGUGGGAAGGAAGGGAGUAAUAGCCUGACAGCUCAGUUUCAUUUUCACCAUGCAGGUGUGUGGAUUUGUGUUUUGUGGGGCUUUUUUUUCUUUCAAUUUUUUUUUUUCUAGUGCGUUGAUUAGUUGCAGGAUUAUAUAAUCUGCCCUGCAGAAGUGUGUUGGGUUUAUUAAGUCUUUUGGAAGAUGCACUAAUACAGAUUUGAAGGAAACUGGGCCAGAAACAUGGCUGGCUGAGACAGAGGGAAUCCAGAUGUUAGAGGAGGAUAUAAAAAUAUAAAGCUGUAGUGAGUUGAAUCAAGUAGAGGCACAAGUCUGUGUGUGGAAGCACAGUAGCAGGAAAAAUAACUAGGAAUCCUAUCAACAUUUUUGACAGCUAUACUUACCCACUAUAAGAAUCUAGUGUUUAAAAAAACCUCAGUUGCCUAGUUUACUGUGUCUGUAAGCAGUAGUGGCUACUCUUGCCAUCCUCACUUCCAGUUACAGCUUUCAAGAAGAUUUUUUGUUUUGUGUAUUGACAUGCAAACUCUGAAAGGUGCUUCUGCCUCUCCGCCACCCCCUCCCCC